UAGGCAGCUUUAUCCCGAUGGCGGUGAGU
rnacentral:piRNA from 1 species